rnacentral:rRNA from 1 species
GACGAACCGUGCAAACGUUAUUCGGAAUCACUGGGCUUAAAGGGCGCGUAGGCGGGUCCAUCAGUCUGUGGUGAAAUCCUCCAGCUUAACUGGAGAAGUGCCGUGGAUACUGUGGGCCUCGAGGAGGGUAGGGGCAUCUGGAACAGCCGGUGGAGCGGUGAAAUGCGUUGAUAUCGGCUGGAACUCCGGUGGCGAAGGCGAGAUGCUGGACCCUUUCUGACGCUGAGGCGCGAAAGCCAGGGGAGCGAACGGG